rnacentral:rRNA from 2 species
GGGCGUUAAGUUGCAGGGUAUAGACCCGAAACCCGGUGAUCUAGCCAUGGGCAGGUUGAAGGUUGGGUAACACUAACUGGAGGACCGAACCGACUAAUGUUGAAAAAUUAGCGGAUGACCUGUGGCUGGGGGUGAAAGGCCAAUCAAACCGGGAGAUAGCUGGUUCUCCCCGAAAGCUAUUUAGGUAGCGCCUCGUGAACUCAUCUCCGGGGGUAGAGCACUGUUUCGGCUAGGGGGCCAUCCCGGCUUACCAACCCGAUGCAAACUGCGAAUACCGGAGAAUGUUAUCACGGGAGACACACGGCGGGUGCUAACGUCCGUCGUGAAGAGGGAAACAACCCAGACCGCCAGCUAAGGUCCCAAAGUCAUGGUUAAGUGGGAAACGAUGUGGGAAGGCCCAGACAGCCAGGAUGUUGGCUUAGAAGCAGCCAUCAUUUAAAGAAAGCGUAAUAGCUCACUGGUCGAGUCGGCCUGCGCGGAAGAUGUAACGGGGCUAAACCAUGCACCGAAGCUGCGGCAGCGACACUUUAGUGUUGUUGGGUAGGGGAGCGUUCUGUAAGCCGUUGAAGGUGUGUCGUGAGGCAUGCUGGAGGUAUCAGAAGUGCGAAUGCUGACAUAAGUAACGAUAAAGCGGGUGAAAAGCCCGCUCGCCGGAAGACCAAGGGUUCCUGUCCAACGUUAAUCGGGGCAGGGUGAGUCGACCCCUAAGGCGAGGCCGAAAGGCGUAGUCGAUGGGAAACGGGUUAAUAUUCCCGUACUUGGUGUUACUGCGAAGGGGGGACGGAGAAGGCUAUGUUGGCCGGGCGACGGUAGUCCCGGUUUAAGCGUGUAGGUGUGUGUUCCAGGCAAAUCCGGUUCACUUUAACACUGAGGCGUGAGACGAGGCACCACGGUGCUGAAGCAACAAAUGCCCUGCUUCCAGGAAAAGCCUCUAAGCAUCAGGUAACAUCAAAUCGUACCCCAAACCGACACAGGUGGUCAGGUAGAGAAUACCAAGGCGCUUGAGAGAACUCGGGUGAAGGAACUAGGCAAAAUGGUGCCGUAACUUCGGGAGAAGGCACGCUGACACGUAGGUGAAGUGAUUUACUCAUGGAGCUGAAGUCAGUCGAAGAUACCAGCUGGCUGCAACUGUUUAUUAAAAACACAGCACUGUGCAAACACGAAAGUGGACGUAUACGGUGUGACGCCUGCCCGGUGCCGGAAGGUUAAUUGAUGGGGUCAGCGCAAGCGAAGCUCCUGAUCGAAGCCCCGGUAAACGGCGGCCGUAACUAUAACGGUCCUAAGGUAGCGAAAUUCCUUGUCGGGUAAGUUCCGACCUGCACGAAUGGCGUAAUGAUGGCCAGGCUGUCUCCACCCGAGACUCAGUGAAAUUGAACUCGCUGUGAAGAUGCAGUGUACCCGCGGCAAGACGGAAAGACCCCGUGAACCUUUACUAUAGCUUGACACUGAACAUUGAGCCUUGAUGUGUAGGAUAGGUGGGAGGCUUUGAAGCGUGGACGCCAGUCUGCGUGGAGCCGACCUUGAAAUACCACCCUUUAAUGUUUGAUGUUCUAACGUGGACCCGUAAUCCGGGUUGCGGACAGUGUCUGGUGGGUAGUUUGACUGGGGCGGUCUCCUCCUAAAGAGUAACGGAGGAGCACGAAGGUUGGCUAAUCCUGGUCGGACAUCAGGAGGUUAGUGCAAUGGCAUAAGCCAGCUUGACUGCGAGCGUGACGGCGCGAGCAGGUGCGAAAGCAGGUCAUAGUGAUCCGGUGGUUCUGAAUGGAAGGGCCAUCGCUCAACGGAUAAAAGGUACUCCGGGGAUAACAGGCUGAUACCGCCCAAGAGUUCAUAUCGACGGCGGUGUUUGGCACCUCGAUGUCGGCUCAUCACAUCCUGGGGCUGAAGUAGGUCCCAAGGGUAUGGCUGUUCGCCAUUUAAAGUGGUACGCGAGCUGGGUUUAGAACGUCGUGAGACAGUUCGGUCCCUAUCUGCCGUGGGCGCUGGAAGACUGAGGGGGGCUGCUCCUAGUACGAGAGGACCGGAGUGGACGCAUCACUGGUGUUCGGGUUGUCAUGCCAAUGGCACUGCCCGGUAGCUAAAUGCGGAAAAGAUAAGUGCUGAAAGCAUCUAAGCACGAAACUUGCCCCGAGAUGAGUCUUCCCUGAGACUUUGAGUCUCCUGAAGGAACGUUAAAGACGAUGACGUUGAUAGGCCGGGUGUGUAAGCGCAGCGAUGCGUUGAGCUAACCGGUACUAAUGAACCGUGAGGCUUAACCUUACAACGCCGAAGCUGUU